AGCACACAGUGAGAGGAGCCUUGGGUCAGCUCCCUGGUGUCCUGGGGACAGAGGGAGAGUGUGAGGGGCCAUGGAAGCUGGGAGCUCCCAGAACAAUCCUACUCCUUCUUCCCUUCCUCCCUUGCUUCCUCCCUCUAAAUGAAGUGUCUAGCAGUGAGCUGGAGAUUGGACAACAGAAGGAGUAAAGAUGCUUCAGGGACUAUCUGGCGAUUGUGCAGAUUUUUCAUGAGAGGAUUAAUAAACUAAGAACUUUUAUGUAAAAAAAAAAAGAUGGGAGAGCACACA